UAAUGUCUGGGAAACUGCCUGAUGGAGGGGGGUAGCUACUGGAAACGGUAGCUAAUACCGCAUAACGUCGCAAGACCAAAGUGGGGGACCUUCGGGCCUCAUGCCAUCAGAUGUGCCCAGAUGGGAUUAGCUAGUAGGUGGGGUAACGGCUCACCUAGGCGACGAUCCCUAGCUGGUCUGAGAGGAUGACCAGCCACACUGGAACUGAGACACGGUCCAG
rnacentral:rRNA from 1 species